UAGGGAAUCUUCGGCAAUGGACGAAAGUCUGACCGAGCAACGCCGCGUGAGUGAAGAAGGUUUUCGGUAUCGUAAAACUCUGUUGUUAGAGAAGAACAAGGAUGAGAGUAACUGUUCAUCCCUUGACGGUAUCUAACCAGAAAGCCACGGCUAACUACGUGCC
rnacentral:rRNA from 1 species